AAAUACAAACUGGAAAUGGUACAUUUAAUAAAGGUUUUGAAAACCUUUUAGGAUAUAAAUCAUGUACU
rnacentral:tRNA from 1 species